UAGGGUACUAGGAGCACAAAUGCUCCAGUGUGAAACUGACUUCUCCUGGGGAUGGUAGGGCUUCCUCUGUGGUCCAGUAAUGGUGACGUCCCUAACUGGCAGCCUGGGCCCCAGCGUCAGGAGUUGGGCUCAUGGUGACACAAAGGCUCCUUGGAUGCAAGAGCACAAACACCUCAGUGUGAAGGUUUCCUCUGGAGAAGGAGCAUUUCACUAUCCAACAAAAUGUUUAUUCCAGGAUUUUGGUUGAUUUCAUUAAUCAGAAAAUGCAUUUUAGAAGAAAAUGAGUCUCUGAUCUCAGGAUUUGUCUGAUCUCUCACGAUUGGGAUGGCCCAUUCCUAGAGGGGGAGAAGACCUGGAAAACACUGCUAGACCAACUCAAAAUUACAAAGUUUUCCAGAGCUUAUAUGUCUUCUAAGCCAUAUGUCUAUGUCUGCAGGAAUGUAGACAAUUCAGAGGCUUUGUUCCCCAUAAUUUGGAACUUUUCUUCAGAUUUGACCAAGUCGGGUAGAGAUGAUCAAACCUAAUGGGAAAAAGACUGAAACAACAAAAACAGAAACAGGCAAACACAACCAGUAGCUCUGGUGGCCUUUACCUCAGGCUUUGAUGACAGACAGAGGAACCAACAAUCUAACCUGAUGCCUGCCUCUCCCCACGCCAGUGCUGAGGAGCUCCUGCAGAGAAAGCCUGCUCUUCCAGCCCUUGUAUUCAGGACAGGUGCCGGGUGGUCCCUCAAGACCCUUUUUCAGCAGUAAAUCCUACCUGCUUUCACUGAGUUCUCACUAAGUUUAUUUGGUUUAAUCUAGGUUGUCUGAGGUUCCACAACUCAUAACUGAUUUUGUGUUCUAUUUCUGGCCAGCAACUUCCUUGACAUUAUGGAAACUUGAGUUGGGUGGAGUUGUCAGAUUUGAUUUAUUGGCUAUUUUGUUUCUCUUGAAUACGACAGGAGAAGGGAAGCAACAGCUCAUAUCUCCUUGGCUUACCUUCAUACAUAUUAGGGCAUAGUCAUGGGUAAGUAGGUCUUUCAGCAGUAAAAGGAACUCCUGUGUCUGUCCUGAGUUAAGCACAGUGACUAUAAUUUUGACACAGGUAAUACCUCCCACCCACCCUUAUAAGAACCAAGGCUUCUGAUAUGUAGGCUUAUUACAGCCCUAGCUGCUGUGCCUAUGUGUAAAGUGGCAGGCUUUUAUUUACACUAAAUGUAUUUCAGAAUUAUAGAAGCGCCUUCAGAGAAAUCUUAAUUCAACAUGGUUUUAACAUUUGUAUGGAGUGACAGAAGAAAAACAAAACUUUAAUUCUCCAUUAGUCAGUUUUUUCAGUUGGUCACCAAAUUUGGCAUUCUGUGUAUACACUAGGAAUAUUUAGUCUUAGAAGAAAUUUUAACACAAAAUAUUACCAGGUUAAUGAAUUUAUUUAUAAAAUAUUUUAAAUCUAAGGUGCUCCUGCACUGAUAGGUUUAUAGAGACUAAUGGGCACUGACACAAAUUUAAAAUUUAAAAACUCGAGAAUAACUAAAUUAAAAAAAAAAAAUCAGGCCAGGUGUAGCGGCUCA
rnacentral:lncRNA from 1 species